rnacentral:rRNA from 1 species
CAGCUUUCUGGAUCAUUACUGACACUGAGGAACGAAAGCAUGGGUAGCGAAGAGGAUUAGAUACCCUCGUAGUCCAUGCCGUAAACGAUGUGUGUUAGACGUUGGAAAUUUAUUUUCAGUGUCGCAGGGAAACCGAUAAACACACCGCCUGGGGAGUACGACCGCAAGGUUAAAACUCAAAUGAAUUGACGGGGACCCGCACAAGUAGUGGAGCAUGUGGUUUAAUUCGAAGAUACGCGCAGAACCUUACCAACACUUGACAUGUUCGUCGCGACUCUAAGAGAUUAGAGUUUUCGGUUCGGCCGGACGAAACACAGGUGCUGCAUGGCUGUCGUCAGCUCGUGUCGUGAGAUGUUGGGUUAAGUCCCGCAACGAGCGCAACCCUCACUUUUAGUUGCCAUCAUUAAGUUGGGCACUCUGAAAGAACUGCCAGUGAUAAGCUGGAGGAAGGUGGGGAUGACGUCAAGUCCUCAUGGCCCUUACGUGUUGGGCUACACACGUGCUACAAUGGUAUCUACAACAGGAAGCAAGACUGCGAAGUUAAGCAAAUCCCUAAAAGAUACCUCAGUUCGGAUUGCACUCUGCAACUCGAGUGCAUGAAGCUGGAAUUACUAGUAAUCGUGGAUCAGCGUGCCACGGUGAAUGCGUUCCCGGGUCUUGUACACACCGCCCGUCACACCAUGGGAGUUGGUUCUACCUUAAGGCAAGGUUUCAAACCCUUGACCACGGUAUAGUCAGCGACUGGGGUGAAGUCGUAACAAGGUAGCCGUAGGGGAACCUGCGGCUG